rnacentral:lncRNA from 1 species
AUGCCAGUCUCUACCUGCAUUUGGGAGUUUUCAAGGGCUUUGAGACACUACAAAGAACAAGAAAGAAAAGGACUGGCAUUGCACCAACUCCUCCCAGCCAUGAAAGGCCACUCAGGAGAAAGCACGGACAUCACAGGUCAUCCAGAAGCAGCUACUCAAGGACAGAAAGAAGUAAAGAAAUCCAAAACUCAACUCAGCAAUAACAAGAUUCCCCAGGAUAUUAAAUUAACAAUUUUACUGAAUGCUCAGACUACAGAACAGGAGAUUAAAAAAAAAUUUAAAGGAUAGAUAAUGAAAGUUGUUGUGUUUUACAACACUGUGACAUAACAGAAAUAAGUAGCUGCAGAGAAAGUAAAAAUUUAAAGGCAAAACAGGGAGAAGACUUCGAAACAGAUACUCCAGUGAAAUCCAAGAUCUCAUGAAAACCAUUUGCUCAUAAAAAAUGUGGUGCUGUAUUUAUUUCUGGAGCACGCUUACGAGUUGCUUUGCAAGGUUGAAGCUACCAUCUACAUUUCUGUAGAUAAGUCUCCAGUGAAAAAGUGGUUUCAACACCUUUCAGAGAGAAAGUCUGCAGUGCAAAAUCAAAAAUCAGUCUUAGUUCUAAGUCCCAGCUCCAGAAAUGUGCCAAACAGCAGAUCUAAGACAGGUGACUAAGUAGAGAUGGAUAUUCUUUUUUCUUUUUCUUUUUCCUUUUUUCUUUUUCUUUAUUUUUUUCUUUUUCUUUUUCUUUUUCUUUUUCUUUUUCUUUUUCUUUUUCUUUUUCUUUUUCUUUUUCUUUUUUCUUUUUCUUUUUCUUUUUCUUUUUCUUUUUCUUUUUCUUUUUCUUUUUCUUUUUCUUUUUC